UACGGGGGGGGCAAGCGUUGUUCGGAAUUACUGGGCGUAAAGGGCUCGUAGGUGGCCAACUAAGUCAGACGUGAAAUCCCUCGGCUUAACCGGGGGAACUGCGUCUGAUACUGGAUGGCUUGAGUUUGGGAGAGGGAUGCGGAAUUCCAGGUGUAGCGGUGAAAAUGCGUAGAUAUCAGGAGGAACACCGGUGGUGUAGACGGCUUUCUGGACCGUAACUGACGCUGAGACACGAAAAGCGUGGGGUAGCAAAACAGG
rnacentral:rRNA from 1 species